AGUGAACGCUGGCGGUAGGCGUAACACAUGCAAGUCGAACGGCAGCACAGUAAGAGCUUGCUCUUACGGGUGGCGAGUGGCGGACGGGUGAGGAAUACAUCGGAAUCUACUUUUUCGUGGGGGAUAACGUAGGGAAACUUACGCUAAUACUGCAUACGACCUACGGGUGAAAGCAGGGGAUCUUCGGACCUUGCGCGAUUGAAUGAGCCGAUGUCGGAUUAGCUAGUUGGCGGGGUAAAGGCCCACCAAGGCGACGAUCCGUAGCUGGUCUGAGAGGAUGAUCAGCCACACUGGAACUGAGACACGGUCCAGACUCCUACGGGAGGCAGCAGUGGGGAAUAUUGGACAAUGGGCGCAAGCCUGAUCCAGCCAUACCGCGUGGGUGAAGAAGGCCUUCGGGUUGUAAAGCCCUUUUGUUGGGAAAGAAAAGCAGCAGGUUAAUACCCCGCUGUUCUGACGGUACCCAAAGAAUAAGCACCGGCUAACUUCGUG
rnacentral:rRNA from 1 species